UCCUCUAGUUUCUUAUUCCCAAUUUUCUUCUUUCGUCAUUUAGUCCGUUUUCCUUUCUCCGUCAUUUAGUCCUCUGGUUUCGUAUUCCCAAUUUAGUCCUCUAAUUUCUGGUUUCCUAUUUUCCCCUCAAGACCCCAACAGAGCCACAAUCGGGAGACCAUCUACAACUCUGCCACUGAUUUGCAAUUCUUUCCACCAAUUUUAGAAGACCAUCUGACCAUCAAAAUCAGACAAAGGGACAAGAAGCAAGAGAGGAAGUAGAAGAGGGGGCGGAAGAGAAAAACAACGGAGAGAUCAGAGGGAGAGAGAAAAAAAAACAAAAACAAAAACAGCAAAAAGAAAUUUGGUGGAGAAAAUGACUGGAAGUUCUUUGAAUCUGGCUCCAAACUCGCUGCUUCAAUAUAUCUGGCUCAGCCUGUAAUCUCGCGUACCACUUCGUCAGAUUUAUUUCCAUCCGCGUUUUUUUUCGCUCAAAUCAGUCAAGAAGCAUUUCCAGGUAAGCCAAAACUUUUCUUUGCUCAAUCUGACAUUCGUAUAAGGAUUUGGGUGCUGUGGGUUUUAUUUUGUACAAGUUUCAUGAUUUAGUAAAGCUUAUGUGUAUGAAAAUUUAUCACUUAAAUGCUUUUGGAGGAUUUUUAGAUGAGGUUCUGUUUGUUUUGAUUAAAAAUUUUUAGGUUUCGAUUUUUUUUAGAUGAAAGCUGAAGUCACUUAUUUGUUCUUUGCAUUUCGUUUGCCUUCUGUUGCUUUGGAUCCCUUGAAUGGAAUGUUUUGUUAUGAAGUUUUGUUGAGAAAAUGGAUUAAGGUCUUUGUAUUGAUUUAGUUGACGAAUUGUUAGCUUUUGUUCGAGUUUUCUUGGCAUAAAUGCAUCUGGGUUGAUGAACGAAAGUUGCAGAGAAUCUUCUGAAUUGCUGAGGAAGAAGAAAGCUUUCGAAGGUUGCAUGAAUAAUCUGAAAAAAUUUCAUAUUUAUUCCCCAACUUUUACUUAAUUCUAGUAUGGCCCAAACACUUUUGCAAUCGAACCAUUUAUGCCCUAUUGAGUUCUGAUCCUAUUUCCCAUGUUUAAAUGCUUUUUUAAGUAGAUUAAUUCUGGAAUUUAAUGCAUAAUCAGAGCUUAGUAAUUUUUAGUUGAGUUUUUAUCUUGUUGGGUUUUCAUAAAAUAAGAUGAGAUUUGGUUUGGAAUUGUUGGUUGGGUUUGACCAAUGAGUUGUUGACUUUUUUUCUGGGUUGUUGACAUGGGCUUUAGGAAUAAAGCCCAUAUAUUUUUAGUUGGGUUUUGCUUGGACCUAAGAUAGGCUGGCCUGCUUGUCUUCUUAGGGCUUUCAGUCGGGCUGAGAGGAUCUUGGCCUGAAAAAUAAGAAAAAUGGCCCAAUGGCCUGAUGCUAGUUUAAGAGAUCAGAUCCGUAAAUUGCAUAUGGGUCCCUAUACUUUUGUGUAUUUUCAUUGUGGUUCUAAAUACUUUGAUUACUUUCAAUUAUGUCCAUUUUUAAUUGCAAAUAGGUCCUUAAAUUUUAUUUUUCUUUAAUUUAGACUCCAUAUUUUUGUGAUAAUUAUAAUUUGAUCUUCAAAAAUUUUUUGCAAUUAGAUCUCUGAUAGAUUUGAUUUUCUUAAAUAGAAGUUUCUUUUAUUCUUUAAUUAUUGAUUACACUUCAUUUAAGUGUUUCACUUGAUUGAUUUCAUAUUUAUUUUCAUUUUUUAUGAUUUAUUUGUCAAUUAAAUUGGUGCCUUGAUGAUUUUUGUUAAUUUUGGAGUUAAAUAGAGCAAAUCCAAUUCCCCAUUAGCUACUACGUCAAGGAAGGGUUUAGCGAGGACGUGGAUUUUGAUUCCCAACUUGACUGGUGACUUCACUCUUGGUCUUGACGUUUGAGAAAUCUGAGCCUACUUAUAUUUGCUUAUGAAUGUAUUUGAACCUUGUGACUUUGAUUUGCAGUUCGUAAUGUAAUUCGAAUAAAACAAUGUACUUUUGUCUUGGGUUACCACUUGAAACUGGAAAAAUGUAAACCCUAAUUUUGAUAUUUGGCUCGUAUGUAAACAUUUGCGUCGUAUGAAUAUAUACUUUUGAAGUUGUUUGAAUUUA